rnacentral:rRNA from 1 species
UGGAGCUGAAGUCAGUCGAAGAUACCAGCUGGCUGCAACUGUUUAUUAAAAACACAGCACUGUGCAAACACGAAAGUGGACGUAUACGGUGUGACGCCUGCCCGGUGCCGGAAGGUUAAUUGAUGGGGUCAGCGCAAGCGAAGCUCCUGAUCGAAGCCCCGGUAAACGGCGGCCGUAACUAUAACGGUCCUAAGGUAGCGAAAUUCCUUGUCGGGUAAGUUCCGACCUGCACGAAUGGCGUAAUGAUGGCCAGGCUGUCUCCACCCGAGACUCAGUGAAAUUGAACUCGCUGUGAAGAUGCAGUGUACCCGCGGCAAGACGGAAAGACCCCGUGAACCUUUACUAUAGCUUGACACUGAACAUUGAGCCUUGAUGUGUAGGAUAGGUGGGAGGCUUUGAAGUGUGGACGCCAGUCUGCAUGGAGCCGGCCUUGAAAUACCACCCUUUAAUGUUUGAUGUUCUAACGUGGACCCGUGAUCCGGGUUGCGGACAGUGUCUGGUGGGUAGUUUGACUGGGGCGGUCUCCUCCUAAAGAGUAACGGAGGAGCACGAAGGUUGGCUAAUCCUGGUCGGACAUCAGGAGGUUAGUGCAAUGGCAUAAGCCAGCUUGACUGCGAGCGUGACGGCGCGAGCAGGUGCGAAAGCAGGUCAUAGUGAUCCGGUGGUUCUGAAUGGAAGGGCCAUCGCUCAACGGAUAAAAGGUACUCCGGGGAUAACAGGCUGAUACCGCCCAAGAGUUCAUAUCGACGGCGGUGUUUGGCACCUCGAUGUCGGCUCAUCACAUCCUGGGGCUGAAGUAGGUCCCAAGGGUAUGGCUGUUCGCCAUUUAAAGUGGUACGCGAGCUGGGUUUAGAACGUCGUGAGACAGUUCGGUCCCUAUCUGCCGUGGGCGCUGGAGAACUGAGGGGGGCUGCUCCUAGUACGAGAGGACCGGAGUGGACGCAUCACUGGUGUUCGGGUUGUCAUGCCAAUGGCACUGCCCGGUAGCUAAAUGCGGAAGAGAUAAGUGCUGAAAGCAUCUAAGCACGAAACUUGCCCCGAGAUGAGUUCUCCCUGAGACUUUAGGUCUCCUGAAGGAACGUUGAAGACGACGACGUUGAUAGGCCGGGUGUGUAAGCGCAGCGAUGCGUUGAGCUAACCGGUACUAAUGAACCGUGAGGCUUAACCUUACAA